UGCUCACUUAGGCAGCAAACUAUUAAAAUUAGAACAAUACAGAGAAGAUUAGCAUGGCCCCUGAGCAAGGAUAACAUGCAAAAGGUAUCUGAAAUGUAUUAAGAUGUA